AACGAACGCUGGCGGCAUGCUUUACACAUGCAAGUCGAACGGUAACAGGCCGCAAGGUGCUGACGAGUGGCGAACGGGUGAGUAAUGCAUCGGAACGUGCCCAGUCGUGGGGGGUAACUGCUCGAAAGAGCAGCUAAUACCGCAUACGAUCUAUGGAUGAAAGCGGGGGACCGUAAGGCCUCGCGCGAUUGGAGCGGCCGAUGUCAGAUUAGGUAGUUGGUGGGGUAAAGGCUCACCAAGCCAACGAUCUGUAGCUGGUCUGAGAGGACGACCAGCCACACUGAGACUGAGACACGGCCCAGACUCCUACGGGAGGCAGCAGUGGGGAAUUUUGGACAAUGGGGGCAACCCUGAUCCAGCAAUGCCGCGUGCAGGAAGAAGGCCUUCGGGUUGUAAACUGCUUUUGUACGGAACGAAACGGUCUGGGUUAAUACCCUGGGCUAAUGACGGUACCGUAAGAAUAAGCACCGGCUAACUACGUGCCAGCAGCCGCAGUAAAAC
rnacentral:rRNA from 1 species